AUUCCAGCUCCAAUAGCGUAUAUUAAAGUUGUUGCAGUUAAAAAGCUCGUAGUUGAAUUUCUGGUGGGAGUGUACAGUCCGACACUGAGUGUUGGUUCUUGUGUGUCUCCGGCCAUCCUUGGAGUGAAUCUGUCUGGCAUUUAGUUGUUGGGCAGAGUAUCUCCAUCGUUUACUGUGAGGAAAGGAAAGUGUUCAAAGCAGGCUUACGCCGUUGAAUCUUUUAGCAUGGAAUAAUAAGAUAGGACUUCGGUUCUAUUUUGUUGGUUUCUAGAUCUGGAGUAAUGAUUGAUAGGGAUAGUUGGGGGUGCUAGUAUUAAGGGGCCAGAGGUGAAAUUCUUGGAUUCUCUUAAGACUAACUUAUGCGAAAGCAUUCACCAAGGAUGUCUUCAUUG
rnacentral:rRNA from 1 species